rnacentral:rRNA from 1 species
GUGCCAGCAGCCGCGGUAAUACAGAGGUCUCAAGCGUUGUUCGGAUUCAUUGGGCGUAAAGGGUGCGUAGGCGGUGUGGAAAGUCGAAUGUGAAAUCUCGGAGCUCAACUCCGAAACUGCACUCGAUACUACCAUACUAGAGGAUUGUAGAGGAGAUCGGAAUUCACGGUGUAGCAGUGAAAUGCGUAGAUAUCGUGAGGAAGACCAGUUGCGAAAGCGGAUCUCUGGGCAACUCCUGACGCUGAGGCACGAAGGCUAGGGGAGCAAACGGGAUUAGAUACCCCGGUAGUCC